AAUGGGCGAAAGCCUGACGGAGCAACGCCGCGUGAGGGACGAAGGCCUCUGGGCUGUAAACCUCUUUUCUCAAGGAAGAAGAUAUGACGGUACUUGAGGAAUAAGCCACGGCUAAUUCCGUGCCAGCAGCCGCGGUAAUACGGGAGUGGCAAGCGUUAUCCGGAAUUAUUGGGCGUAAAGCGUCCGCAGGCGGCUUUUCAAGUCUGCUGUUAAAGCGUGGAGCUUAACUCCAUCAUGGCAGUGGAAACUGAAAGGCUUGAGUAUGGUAGGGGCAGAGGGAAUUCCCGGUGUAGCGGUGAAAUGCGUAGAUAUCGGGAAGAACACCAGUGGCGAAGGCGCUCUGCUGGGCCAUUACUGACGCUCAUGGACGAAAGCCAGGGGAGCGAAAGGGAUU
rnacentral:rRNA from 1 species